rnacentral:rRNA from 1 species
ACGCUCGACACCUACGGGAGACAGCAGUGAGGAAUAUUGGUCAAUGGACGCAAGUCUGAACCAGCCAUGCCGCGUGCAGGAUGACGGCUCUAUGAGUUGUAAACUGCUUUUGUACGAGGGUAAACGCAGAUACGUGUAUCUGUCUGAAAGUAUCGUACGAAUAAGGAUCGGCUAACUCCGUGUCAGCAGCCGCGGUAAUCUGAGCGGGCUGGCAAGGC